AUACGGAGGGUGCAAGCGUUACUCGGAAUCACUGGGCGUAAGGCGCGCGCAGGCGGCUAUUUAAGUUGGAUGUGAAAGCCUACGGCUCAACCGUAGAACUGCAUCCAAAACUAUUUAGCUAGAGUGUGGGAGAGGAAGAUGGAAUUAGUUGUGUAGGGGUAAAAUCCGUAGAGAUAACUAGGAAUACCAAAAGCGAAGGCGAUCUUCUGGAACAGUACUGACGCUGAGGCGCGAAAGCGUGGGGAGCAAACAGGAUUAGAAACCCGAGUAGUCC
rnacentral:rRNA from 1 species